GGGGGCCGGAGCGCCGGACAGACACAGUAGUAAGCGAUAUUACAUCCAUGAAUUAUGCCCUACACAACCCCCUACUUAUUUCAUAAUGUCUGGACCCAUGAAAGCAAGCCAGUAAAGA